rnacentral:rRNA from 1 species
AGUGAACGCUGGCGGCAGGCCUAACACAUGCAAGUCGAACGGCAGCACAGGGGAGCUUGCUCCCUGGGUGGCGAGUGGCGGACGGGUGAGGAAUACAUCGGAAUCUACCCUGUCGUGGGGGAUAACGUAGGGAAACUUACGCUAAUACCGCAUACGACCUCCGGGUGAAAGCAGGGGAUCGCAAGACCUUGCGCGAUUGGAUGAGCCGAUGUCCGAUUAGCUAGUUGGCGGGGUAAAGGUCCACCAAGGCGACGAUCGGUAGCUGGUCUGAGAGGAUGAUCAGCCACACUGGAACUGAGACACGGUCCAGACUCCUACGGGAGGCAGCAGUGGGGAAUAUUGGACAAUGGGCGAAAGCCUGAUCCAGCCAUGCCGCGUGGGUGAAGAAGGCCUUCGGGUUGUAAAGCCCUUUUGUUGGGAAAGAAAACUUUCCGGUUAAUACCCGGAGAGAAUGACGGUACCCAAAGAAUAAGCACCGGCUAACUUCGUG